GCCCGUUAACGGCCGCCCGGGGCCCGCAGGCCGCGCGGCCGCUGGGGGGGCGGGGAAGAGAAGAUGGCGCCGCUCGGGAGGAGCCGCGGCGGCUCCCGGGAGGAAGGAGCUCCCGCCAGCCGGAGAGCGGCUGUGCCCAGCCGCUGGCAGCGGCUCGCAGCCCGCCUCGGACGGCCCGGACGGCAAGCGAGGGGCUGUCCCGCCUUCCCGCCCCCUCCCCAGCUAAAGCGGGCACGGGCACUCGGCCAACAACCCCACUGUCCAGGCGACUAUUCAAGCAAGCUGGGACAGCGCCAGGAGAGAAAGGCUUACAGAGCAGGGCAGGCACAGGAAUAGCAGAAGGGGGGGGGGGGGGAAAAAGUGGGUUUUGGUUUUGUUUUCUUUUCUUUUUUCUCCAAGAUGAGGCACAGUGGAACACUGAUAACAGGAACAGUAUAUGGUUACAAAUGUUUCAGAUGUAGCAGUUUUGUUUUGUUUUGUUUUGUUUUUAGAGCUCUAGGAAACGGCAGUGAAGUGGGCAGGACGAGGGAGCUGUGACAGCACUGCAACAGCUCAUGUUAACCAGCUGCUCCCCUUGCCACUCCACUUGAACAGCAAGCCCCAAUACAGCUUCCACAAGAAGUCUGCACAUCGCAGCACUGGGACAGCUUCAAGGACAAAACAUCUGCCAUUCCCACUUCACAAAGGUUAUACGUAGAAGACAGACUCUGCUGAAUAACGAAGUUUAAAUUUCGAGUGUCUAAAUUCACCAAUGUCUAUGGCAUGAGAUCUUGCUACAAGGCACCAACCACCUUUAAGAAAAUUCUGACAAAACCUGGGUAAAUACUUACCAGAACAAGUUGACAAGUUGGCUCAAAACUCUGUAAU